rnacentral:tRNA from 1 species
GUGGGUAUAGCUCGGUGGUAGAGCGCCUGCUUGGCAUGUGAAGGGUCCUGGGUUCAAUCUCCAGUACCUCCA